GUGUGUGUGUGUGUGUGUGUGUGUGUUGUGACUAUAUGUAGUACUCUCUCUGGCGCCAAUAUGCGAAGAACACCGAAGAAAGGGAGUAUCGAUACGCGAUGGUUUUAGAAAUUUAAUUAAUUGACCGAUCGUUUUAAUCAGUCUCUUGGUAUGAAUCUCUGAGUAUUCUCUCCAAAACAAAUCAAUACACAUUGUGAUAUGUAGACUAUCGAAUAUUCUUUAUUUUUUGUGAAUAUACACUUUUAAAAUUAUGGGUCCUGUUUUUGAAUACUGAAUAUGUUUCUAUACUGAGAUUGCACUUAUCUUGUGAUAACUGCACCAUAUACGGAGUGUCAAUAACUAUAUACGGAUGCAACGUUCAUGAUUUCUUCAAGGGUUGAGAAUAGUGUCGUGUGUAUAGAGAAGAGAAGAAAAGCGAACGUGAAGAGGAUGGCAAAACGACGACGAUGGGGUACGCGUCGGGAAUGCGUAAUGCAACCGACGACUGUGCAAAAAUUCGCGAUUCCUAAGAACAACUUAGAAUUCUCUCCAUUUCUACCAUAUACGUACAUCCGAAGGUGCAAUGAACAAACUUCGGAUGUGACCUCGACGAAGUCUCCUUACUAUCCAUCAUUUGUAUCUCAGUUGUAUCAAAGUGCAAUAAAGCAAAAAUACUAAGUGUUA